GACGAGGUGGCCGAGCGGUCUAAGGUGUUGAACUGCUAAUCCAAUGUGCUCUGCACGCGUGGGUUCGAAUCCCAUCCUGAUUUUGUCG